rnacentral:lncRNA from 1 species
UUGGAGCCCAUGUUUUGAACUCAUUAGACCAAUUUGGUAAUACUGCUUUAGGAGCUACUAUUAAGUGAGGUCCUGUGACCUCCUUCUUUUCCAAAAGAUAAGCGAUCAAAGCUAUGGUCUGAAUUGUUUUGCCCAAACCCAUUUCAUCAGCCAGAAUGCCAUUCAAAUUGUUGUUGAAUAAAGAAAGCAUCCAUUGGAGACCCUCUAACUGAUAUGGUCUUAACUCCCCACCUACAAGGGCUGACGGUUGUUCUGUUACCUGUAAAUUCAAAACAGUAGAAAGGAACAUUAGUUGCCCCAGAAGUGGAAACUUAACAAAUUGUAUUGUAAGAACAAAAUGGCAAAAACAAAUUAACAGAGCACCAUAUAAUACUGAAAUAUUUCAUUCAUGGACCAUUCAGCAGUGAAAUGUCACAAGUGAAAUUAGAUCCAAAUAAACUGGGACCAUCAGUUAUUGCAAACAGGCAAUAUAUUCUUCUGCAGAAAAAUUCCCACAUUACAUGAUUAUAACACACUAAUUAUGGGCAGAUGAUCUCGCAGAAUCAAGAAUUCGCCCUANNNNNNNNNNNNNNNNNNNNNNNNNNNNNNNNNNNNNNNNNNNNNNNNNNNNNNNNNNNNNNNNNNNNNNNNNNNNNNNNNNNNNNNNNNNNNNNNNNNNGCAUAUUUCCAACAAGAAGGUCUCCAACAACAUAGCGGAGUAUGAGGGCCUCAUCGCCGGCCUCAAGGCAGCGGCGACCUUGGAGGCCGGGCACCUCACCGUGAUGGUGACUCCCAGCUUCUCGUCAACUUCUCCAACAAAGAGUACACACCUAAGGACGAGCACAUGGAGGCAUAUCUGCAAGAGGUACAUAAGAUUGAGAAACGUUUUCAGGGCCUGGAGCUGCAGCACGCCCCGCAUGGCAAAAAUAAUGAGGCGCGCGACAUCGCCAAAAGAGCUUCGCGUCGCGAGGCUCAAGAGCCAGGCGUCUUCCAGGAGCGGCUCUUCAAGCCUUCCGCGACGCCAUCGCCUGAGGACCCGGCGCCACACAAAGAGGUGCUCCCCCCAGCACCGCCCUCGGGGCUCCGGAUUGCGGCCAGGCCUCGGGGGCUCGACUGCUCCUGGCCCUGGAGGUUCAGGCUGAUGAUUGGAUGCAGGAACUUGGGGCGUACCUGCUCCACGGCACAAUGCCGGAGAAGGAGGAAGACACGGAGCACGUAGCACGACAAGCCUCAACCUACUGCAUACGGGACGACGCCGUGUACUGCAGGUGCGUGAACGACGUCGUGUUGCGGUGCAUUUCCAGGGAGCAGGGGCACGAACUACUGGACGACAUCCAUGGAGGGGACUGCGAGCACCACUCCUCUUCGCACACGCUCGCAGGUAAGGCAUUCAGGUCAGGCUUCUACUGGCCUAAAACGUUGGAUGAUAACACCGAGCUGGUUCGGUCUUGCGAGGCCUGCCAGUUCCAUGCCAAGCAGAUUCACCAGCCCGCGCAGGGCCUCCAGACCAUUCCGCUCUCCUGGCCCUUCGCGGUCUGGGGACUAGACAUACUGGGGCCUUUCCCGCGGGCGGGCGGCUUCCGCUACCUCUACGUCACCAUCGACAAAUUCACCAAGUGGACGGAGGUGGAGCCCGUGCGCACCAUCCCCGCCGGGUCGGCCGUCAAGUUCGUCAAGGGCCUCAUGAGCCUCUUCGGUGUCCCCAAUCGCAUCAUCACUGACAACGGUUCGCAGUUCACCAGUUCGCAGAAAUUAUCAUUUAGAACUUCUAUGCUCGGCUUUCUCAUGAUGAUCGCUGACAACGGUUCGCAGUUCACCAGUUCGCAGAAAUUAUCACUGACAACGGUUCGCAGUUCACCAGUUCGCAGAAAUUAUCAUUCAGAACUUCUAUGCUCGGCUUUCUCAUGAUGAUCGCAUCAUGCUUGACACUUCUUGUACCGGUUCUUUUAUGAAGAGAGAUAUUGACUUCAAAUGGAAUUUAUUGGAGAUAAUUAAACGCAACUCUGAAGAUUGGGAGCUUCAAGAAGGUAAGGAGUGAGGUAUGAAUUUCACGUUUGAUUGCGUUAAAUCCUUUGUCGAGACAAAUACCUUUAGUGAUUUUAGCGCUAAGUAUGGACUUGACUCUGAGAUAGUAGCUUCAUUGUGUGAAUCUUUUGUUGCUCGUAUUGAUCUCCCCAAAGAGAAGUGGUUUAAAUAUCAUCCUCCUUUAGAAGUCAAUGUGGUUAAACCCAUUCAAGUUGAAGAGAAAGUCAUAGCCUAUAAUGAUCCUGUUGUUCCCAAUGCUUACAUUGAGAAACCACCUUUCCCUGUUAGGAUAAAGGAUCAUUCUAAAGCUUCAACUAUGAUACGUAGAGGCUACAUUAGAACACCUACACCCCCUGAGCAAAUUAGAGUUGAACAUAGCAUUGCUAUUAUCAAAGAUCUUCUGUCCGACGAUGUUGAUGGACAUAAUAUUCACUUAUGUGAAGAUGCUGCUAGAAUUGCUAAACCUCACGCUAGAGACAAACAUAUGCGUGUUGUUGGCAUGCAUGUGGUUUCUGUUAAGAUAGGAGAUCAUUGUUAUCAUGGCUUAUGUGAUGUGGGUGCUAGUGUUAGUGCAAUACCUCAGUCCUUAUACGAUGAAAUCAAAGACGAGAUUGCACCUAUUGAGAUAGAACCUAUUGAUGUCACUAUUCAGCUUGCCAAUAGAGAUACUAUCUGUCCUGUGGGAAUUGUUAGGGAUGUUGAAGUCUUGUGUGGUAAAACAAAUUAUCCUGCUGAUUUCCACGUUCUUGCUACCACCCAAGAUAGCUUUUGUCCCAUCAUAUUUGGUAGACCUUUUCUCAAUACUAUCAAUGCUCAUAUUGACUGUGAGAAGCAAACUGUCACUAUUGGCUUUGAAGGUGUGUCACAUCAGUUCAAUUUCUCUAAGUUUGGUAGACAGCCUCAUGAAAAAGAGUUGCCUAGUUAGGAUGAAACUAUUGCCCUAGCUUCUAUUGUCGUGCCUCCUACUGAUCCUAUAGAUCAAUACUUGCUUGAGCAUGAAAAUGAUAUGCAUAUGGAUGAAAGGGAUGAGAUAGAUAGAGUUGUCUUAGAACAAUAUCCUAUCCUUAAGAAUAAUUUGCCUAUUGAACUCCUUGGGGAUACACCCCCACCAAAGGGUGAUCCUGUGUUCGAGUUUAAACAGUUGCCUGAUACUCUUAAGUAUGCUUAUCUUGAUGAAAAAGAGAUAUAUCCAGUUAUUAUUAGUGCUAGCCUCUAAGAGCAUGAAGAAAAGAAGUUAUUAAAAACUCUAAGGAAGCACCGUGCUGCUAUUGGAUAUACUCUUGAUGAUCUUAAGGGCAUUGGUCCCACUCUAUGCCAGCACAAGAUUAAAACUGAUCCUGAUUCCAAGCCAGUUGUUGAUCAUCAACGAGAUCAAAUCCUAAGAUGAAAGAGGUAGUAAGAAAAGAAAUACUAAAGCUCCUGGAAGCAGGUAUUAUCUAUCCUCUUGCUCAUAGUGAUUGGGUGAGUCCGGUGCAUUAUUGCGUCCCUAAGAAGGGAGGUAUUACCGUUGUCCCUAGUGAUAAGGAUGAAUUGAUCCCACAGAGGAUUAUUACUGGCUAUAGGAUGGUGAUCGAUUUUAGGAAAUUGAAUAAAGCCACUAGGAAAGAUCAGUACCCUUUGCCUUUUAUCGACCAAAUGCUGGAAAGGUUGUCCAAACACACACACUUCUGCUUUCUAGACGGAUAUUCUGGUUUCUCCUAAAUACCAGUUGCACAAUCUCAUCAGGAGAAAACCACUUUCACCUGUCCUUUCGGUACCUUUGCUUAUAGACGUAUGCCUUUUGGCUUAUGUAAUGCACCUGCCACCUUUCAAAGAUGUAUGAUGGCUAUAUUCUAUGACUUUUGUGAAAAGAUUGUCGAGGUUUUCAUGGAUGACUUUUUCGUUUAUGGGUCUUCUUUUGAUGAUUGCCUCAGCAACCUUGAUCGAGUCUUGCAGAGAUGUAAAGACACCAAUCUUGUCUUGAAUUGGGAGAAGUGCCACUUUAUGGUUAAUGAAGGCAUCGUCUUAGGACAUAAAAUUUCUGAAAGAGGUAUUGAAGUCGAUAAGGCUAAGGUUGAUGCAAUCGAGAAAAUGCCAUACCCCACAGAUAUCAAAGGUAUAAGAAGUUUCCUUGGUCAAGCUGGUUUCUAUAGAAGGUUCAUCAAAGACUUCUCUAAGAUUUCUAGGCCUCUUACCAAUCUCUUACAAAAGGAUAUUCCUUUUGUUUUUGACGAUGAUUGUGAGGAAGCCUUCGAAAUACUUAAGAGGGCUUUGAUAACUGCACCUAUGGUUCAACCACCUGAUUGGAACUUACCUUUUGAGAUCAUGUGUGACGCUAGUGAUUAUGAUGUUGGUGUUGUUCUAGGGCAAAGAGUCGAUAAGAAGUUGAAUGUUAUUCACUACGCUAGUAAAACUCUAGACAGUGCCCAGAGAAACUAUGCUACUACGGAGAAGGAAUUUUUAGCAGUCGUGUUUGCAUGUGAAACGUUCAGGUCUUACAUAGUUGAUUCCAAAGUCACUAUUCACACUGAUCAUGCUGCUAUUAAGUACCUCAUGGAGAAGAAGGACGCUAAACCUAGACUUAUGAGAUGGGUUCUCUUGCUACAAGAAUUUGAUUUGCAUGUUGUCGACAGAAAGGGUGUUGAUAACCCAGUAGCAGAUAACUUGUCUAGGUUGGAGAACGGUCUUGAUGAUCCACAACCUAUUGAUGAUAGCUUAGGGGAUGAGCAAUUGAAUGUCAUCAAUGCUUCAUGUAGUGCAUCGUGGUAUGCUGAUUAUGCAAACUAUAUCGUUGCCAAAUAUAUACCACCUAGUUUCACGUACCAGCAAAAGAAGAAAUUCUUCUUUGACCUGAGACAUUGCUUUUGGGAUGAUCCUCGCCUUUAUAAGGAAGGAGUAGAUGGUUUUAUUAGACGUUGUAUACCUAAACAUGAACAGGAACAGAUCCUAUAGAAGUGUCACUCCGAGGCCUACGGAGGACACCGUGCGGGAGAUAGAACUGCACACAAGGUAUUGUAAUCAGGUUUAUAUUGGCCCACUCUCUUCAAGGAUGCCCGUAAGUUUGUCUUGUCUUGUGAUGAAUGUCAAAGAAUAGGUAAUAUUAGCAAACAUCAGGAAAUGCCUAUGAACUAUUUACUUGUCAUUGAACCAUUUGAUGUUUGGGGCUUUGAUUAUAUGGGACCUUUUCCAAAAUCCAAUGGGUAUACUCAUAUCCUAGUUGUUGUUGAUUAUCUCACUAAGUGGGUAAAAGCUAUCCCCACUAGUAGUGCUGAUCACAACACCUCUAUCAAGAUGCUGAAAGAAGUUAUCUUCCCUAGAUUUGGAGUCCCUAGAUAUCUAAUAACCGACGGUGGUUCACACUUCAUUCAUGAUGCUUUCCGUAAAACGCUUGCUAAGUACGAUGUCAACCAUAGAAUUGCGUCUCCCUAUCACCCUCAGUCCAGUGGUCAAGUAGAGCUAAGUAAUAGAGAGAUUAAACCGAUUCUGCAAAAGACUGUCAACAGGUCUAGAACGAAUUGCUCUAAGAAGCUCGAUGAUCUACUGUGGGCUUAUAGAACUACCUAUAAGAAUCCCAUGGGCAUGUCUCUGUAGAAAAUGGUGUAUGGGAAAGCAUGUCACUUACCUCUUGAGCUAGAGCAUAAAGCUUAUUGGGCAAUCAAAGAGCUCAACUUUGAUUUUAAACUUGCCGGUGAGAAGAGGUUAUUUGACAUUAGCUGGCUUAAUGAAUGGAGAACUCAGGCAUAUGAGAAUGACAAGCUAUUCAAAUAGAAGGUUAAGAGGUGGCAUGAUAAGAGGAUACAAAAGCGUGAGUUCAAUGUACGUGAUUAUGUCUAGCUAUAUAACUCUCAUUUAAGAUUCUUUGCAGGCAAACUUUUCUCUAAAUGGGAAAGUCCCUAUGUUGUUGAGGAAGUAUAUCGUUCCGGUGCUAUCAAGAUCAACAACACGAAAGGUAAUUUUCCGAGAGUGGUAAAUGGGCAGAGAAUCAAGCAUUAUAUCUUAGGUACUCCCAUAAAUGUUGAAAGCAAUAUCAUCAAUACCAUAACUCCGGAAGAAUACCUAAGGGACAUUUAUCAGCCUGUUUCGGACUCCGAAAACGAAGAGGUAUGUGAUCCGGUAAGAAAACAGAGUCCAAAACUUUUCCAGUAGGAAUUUUUCUCCGUUUUGGAAUUUUUGAAAAAAUACAAAAAAUGGAAGUAGUCCGGAAAGUGCGCGAGGAGGCGACAAGCCUGCACGGCGUGGGCCCACCCCCUGGUCGUGCCGUGAGGGCUUGUGGCCACCUCGUGCGCGUGUCGGACUCUGUUUUCGUGCGGGAUACUCCUUCUGGUCUAAAAAAAUCAUUAUAUAUAGUUCCAUUUGGUCUGACCCCUGCAUCAUGCAGAUUUCCUGUGUUUUUCAUUUCGAGCUUGUUUCUGUUGCAGAUCUAUAUCGCCAUGACUUCCCCAAAAGCUCCGAAGGACAAGAUCUUCGAGAAGGUCAUCAAUCCCUACCUCACGGGAGUGCUGCAACACCCUUAAUCUAUCGAGAUGCGUGAGGGGAUGUUGCACAUCCGUGAUGUUGAGGGGCUUAAGAAGACCGGAAGCGUGGAGACGAGGCUCGAAGCAAUGGAGCAACAGGUCUUCAAGUGCCAAGGGAUGGUGGAGCGUGGACUCAACGCCAACCACAUGAUGAUCACAGAGUUCACCAACAAGCACAGGAUUGAUGCCAAUGACAUUGGGAAGCAUCUCUCCAGGCUCUAUGACAGGGUUGAUCAACUCUAGGUCCAAAUCUAUGACCUGCAGAGCCAAAACUGUGAGUAUGAGUAUAGAUUUAAAUCAAUACGGUUGGCUGCAGAUUUGAGGAUUCCGGAGACUCGUUCAUCUUUCCAUGAUGGAGCACCUAUGCCUUGGAAGACGGAGGAUCAAACACAUGUUGCAAAAACUCCACCAUCACCACCAAAGGAAGACAACUGAGCAUUGGUAUGGGCAAUCCCCUUGGCUUGUGCCAAGCUUGGGGGAGUUGCCCUGGUAUCGUAUCACCAUCACAUCUUUUGCCUUUACCUUUGUUUUAGUUUUCCUUUUCAUUUUUCUUUUUCUCUAGUAGUUUAAAAGUCUUAGUGUUUUAGUCUUGAAUUUUGCUUUGUGUCACCCCCGAUGUAUUCUUGCUCUUGAGCCAUAUAAUAAAGAGUGUCUUAGUUGAAGGGCUUUGCCUCUUGCCAUGAUCAAAAGAGUGAGAAUAGAACAAAAUCAUGAAAGAUCAUGUAAUGAUCUUAUGGGAAGUGAUGGCUUCACAUAUAAAAAGAAUGAUGAUUGAAACUUGUUGAGGGUAGACAAACGUAGACCUUGGUCAUUGUUGAAUUAAUAGGAAGUGAUAAGGAAGGAGAGGUUCACAUAUAAAUACAUCAUCUCUGACACCAUCUAUGAUUGUGAACACUCACUAAACUAUUGCAUGCCUAGAAGUAGAUGUUGGACAAGGAAGACAACAUAAUGAAUUGUGUUUGCUUGGCUCUGAACAAUGUUAUAUGAUUAGAGAUCCCUUAGCAUGUGACGAUUGCUUCCACCUCACAUUAGCCAAAACUCCUGCAUCAAAUAGAGAUACUACUUGUGCAUCCAUAAACCUUCAACCCAGUUUUGCCAUGAGUUUCCACCAUACCUACCUAUGGAUUGAAUAAGAUCCCUCAAGUAAGUUGUCAUCGGUGCAAGCAAUAAAAAUUUCUCUCUAAUAUGUAGGAUCUAUUAGUGUGUGGAAAAUAAGCUUUGUACGAACCUGUGAUGAGGAAGACAUAAAAGCGACAGACUGCAUAAUAAAAUUCUUUAUCACAGGAGGCAAUAUAAAGUGACGUUCCUCCACACUAAGAGGACACGCAUACAAACCUAAAAAGCGCAUGACAACCUCUGCUUCCCUCUACGAAGGGCCUAUCUUGUACCUUUACUUUUUGCCCUUGAAAGAGUCAUGGUGAUCUUCACCAAUUCCUUAUUUCUGCUUUAUCUUGGCUACAGUCAUAUGCUAGGGAAAGAUCUAUAUUCAUAUGUCAACUUGGAGGUAGGCAUUCAUGAAUUAUUAUUGUUGACAUUACCCUUGAGGUAAGAACUUGGGAGGCAAAACUAUAAGCCCCUAUCUUUCUCUGUGUCCAGUUGAAACUUUGAUCUCAUGAGUACCACGUGAGUUGUAGCAAUUGUGGAGAACGAAAGAAUGAUUGAGUAUGUGGAUUUGCUUUACCAGCUCUUAUUUGACUCUUUCUGAUGUUGUGAUAAAUUGCAAUUUCUUCAAUGACUAAAGGCUAUCGGUUGUUACUUCUCGGUAAGGUUCUUGAUCCAUGCUUUACUUUGUGAAGGAAUUAUCACUUUAGCAUGAGAGAUUAUAUGUUCGUAUUGCUGUUCUGAUCUUGAUCAUGAUGCAUGCAUGUUCAUAUCUUGUUUUGUCGACACCUCUCUCCCUAAACAUGUGGACAUAUUUAUUGAGCUCGGCUUUCGCUUGAGGACAAGCAAGGUCUAAGCUUGGGGGAGUUGAUACGUCCAUUUUGCAUCAUGUUUUCAUGUUGAUAUUUAUCGCUUCUUUGGUUGUUAUUUCACUUCACGGUACUAUUCUUAUGCCUUUUCUCUCUUAUUUUGCAAGGUUUACAUGAAGAGGGAGAAUGCCGGCAACUGGAAUUUUGGCCUGAAAGUGGAGCAAAGUUGAGAUACCUAUUCUGCGCAACUCCAAACGCCGUAACAAUCAACGAGGAUUUUUUUCCCGAUUUAUCAAAAAUACUGGGUCGAAGAAGUGCGAGAGCGGCACCAGGGGGUGCCUACAAGCCUGCACGGCGCGGCCACCCCCCCCAGGCCGCGCCAUGGGGGCUUGUGGGCAGCCCACUGGCCUACUGGCCCCCCUCUUUUGCUAUAUGAAGGGUUUCGUCAAGGAAAAAAAUCAAGGAGGAUCUUUUUCGUGGUUUCGCCGCCGCCACGAGGCGGAACUUGAGCAGAACCAAUCUAGAGCUCCGGCACGACGAUCCUGCCGGGGAAACUUCCCUCCCGGAGGGGGAAAUCGUCGCCAUCAUCAUCACCAACACUCCUCUCAUCGGAGGGGACUCAUCACCAUCAACAUCUUCAUCAGCACCAUCUCAUCUCCAAACCCUAGUUCAUCACUUGUAACCAAUCUCCGUCUCGCGACUCCGAUUGGUACUUGUAAGGUUGCUAGUAGUCUUAAUUACUCUUUGUAGUUGAUGCUAGUUGGAUUACUUGGUGGAAGAGUUUAUGUUUAGAUCCUUGAUGCUACUCAUUACCUCUCUGAUCAUGAAUAUGAUUAUGCGUUGUGAGUAGUUACUUUUGUUCCUGAGGACAUGGGAUAAGUCAUGCUAAUAGUAGUCAUGUGAAUUUGGUAUUCGUUCGGUAAUUUGAUAUGUUGUAUGUUGUUUUUCCUCUAGUGGUGUUAGGUGAACGUCGACUACAUAACACUUCACCAUUAUUUGGGCCUAGAGGAAGGCAUUGGGAAGUAGUAAGUAGAUGAUGCGUUGCUAGAGUGACAGAAGCUUAAACCCUAGUUUAUGCGUUGCUUCGUAAGGGGCUGAUUUGGAUCCACUAGUUUAAUGCUAUGGUUAGACUUUGUCUUAAUUCUUCUUUCGUAGUUGCGGAUGCUUGCGAGAGGGGUUAAUCAUAAGUGGGAUGCUUGUCCAAGUAAGGGCAGUACCCAAGCGCCGGUCCACCCACAUAUCAAACUAUCAAAGUAACGAACGCGAAUCAUAUGAACAUGAUGAAACUAGCAUGACAGAAAUUCCCGUGUGUCCUCGGGAGCGUUUUUCCUCCUAUAAGACUUUGUCCAGGCUUGUACCUUGCUACAAAAGGGAUUGGGCCACUUUGCUGCACCGUUGCUACUUUUGUUACUUGUUGCUCGCUACGAAUCAUCUCACCACACAAUCACUUGUUACCGCCAAUUUCAGUGCCUGCAGAUUUUACCUUGCUGAAAACCACUUGUCAGAUCCUUCUGCUCCUCGUUGGGUUCGACACUCUUAUCGAAAGGACUACGAUUGAUCCCUGAUGUCAGCUGUGUAUCCCCGGCAACGGCGCCAGAAAUACUUCUGCUACUGCAACAAAAGACCUUCCAAUGGUGCCAGAAAUAGGCACGUCGACGGGAGAAUGCUUGGCUUGAUUCUUCUGCUGCGGCUAAGCCUUAAGGGACUUCCUAGGCAAGUACGCAAAGGAUUUCCCCCGUGGCCUUGGAGCCUUGCGUUGGUGUUCCCUCGAAGCGGAAAGGGUGAUGUAGCGUAGCGGUGGUAAGUAUUUCCCUCAGUUUGAGAACCAAGGUAUCAAUCCAGUGGAGGAGUAUCUCAAGAUCCUGCACAAACACAAAAGCUUGCUCCCGGCGCUUUGAAGGGGUUGUGAAUCCCUUAUAGAUUGUUUGCCAAGUGAGAACUGAAAGCAACAAAGUAACAAAGCAAAGUAAAAGCGGAGGUGUAAACGAUGGAUGUGAAUAGACCCGGGGGCCGUAGUGUUUACUAGUGGCUUCUCUCAUGAAAGCAAGUAGACGGUGGGUGAAAAAAUUACUGUCGAGCAAUUGAUAGAACCGUGCAAAGUCGUGACGAUAUCUAUGCAAUGAUUAUAUCUAUAGGCAUCACGUCCAAAACAAGUAGACCGAUACUUUCUGCAUCUACUACUAUUACUCCACACGUCGACCGCUAUCCAGCAUGCAUCUAGUGUAUUAAGUCCAUAAGAACAGAGUAACGCCUUAAGCAAGAUGACAUGAUGUAGAGGGAUAAUCUCAAACNNNNNNNNNNNNNNNNNNNNNNNNNNNNNNNNNNNNNNNNNNNNNNNNNNNNNNNNNNNNNNNNNNNNNNNNNNNNNNNNNNNNNNNNNNNNNNNNNNNNAGGGCAUAUUUCCAACAGUCUCCCACUUGCACUAGAGUCAAUAAUCUAGUUCACAUCAAUAUGUGAUUCCAACGAAUCCAACACCCAUAUAGUUAUGGGGUCUGAUCACGUCUUGCUCAUGAGAGAGGUUUUAGUCAACGGUUCUGAAAUUUUCAGAUCCGUGUGUUCUUUACAAAUCUUUAUGUCACCUUAUAGAUGCUGCUACUAUAUGCUAUUUGGAAAUACUCCAAAUAUCUACUCUACUAUACGAAUCCGUUUCACUACUCAUAGUUAUUCGGAUUAGUGUCAAAGCUUACAUCGACGUAACCCUUUACGACGAACUCUUUAACCACCUCCAUAAUCGAGAAAAAUUCCUUAGUCCAUCAGUUACUAAGGAUAAAUUUUGACCGCUGCUAGUGAUUCAAUCAUGGAUCACUCUCUGUACCUCUCAACAGACUUGCUGCAAGGCACACAUCAGGUGCGGUACUCAGCAUGGCAUACUUUAGAGUCUACGCCUAAGGCAUAGAAGACGACCUUCGUCUAUUCUCUUUAUUCUGCCGUGGUCGGGUUUUGAGUCUUACUCAAAUUCACACCUCACAACGCAACCAAGAACUCCUUCUUUGCUGAUCUAUUUUGAACUCCUUCAAAACUUGUCAAGGCAUGUAUCUUGUUGAAACUUCCAUUAAGCGCUUUCGAUCUAUAUCCAUAGAUCUUUCAUGCUCAAUGUUCAAGUAGUUCAAUCCAGGUAUUCCUUUGAAAACUCCUUUCAAACAACCUUGUAUGCUUUACAGAAAUUCUACAUUACUUCUAAUCCACAAUAUGUCAACCACAUAUACCUAUCAGAAAUUCUAUAGUGCUCCCACUCACUUCUUUGGAAAUACAAGUUUCUCAUAAACCUUGUACAAACCCAAAAUCUUUGAUCAUCUCAUCAAAGUGCAUAUUCCAACUCCGAGAUGCUUGCACCAGUCCAUUGAAGGAUCACUGGAGCUUGCAUACUUGCUAGUAUCUUUAGGAUCGACAAAACCUUCUGGUUGUAUCACAUACAAUGUUUGCUCAAGGAAACCGUCGAGAAAACAAUGUUUUGACAUCCUACGUGCAAUAUUUCAUAAAUAAUGCAUCAACAACUAACAUAAUUCUAACAGACCUUUAGCAUCGCUACGAGUGAGAAAGUCUCAUCAUAGUCAACUAUUUGAUCUUGUCGAAAACAUCUUUGCGACAAGUCGAGCUUUUCUUAAUAGUGACUUAUCACCAUCAUCGUCUGUCUUCUUUUAAAGAUCCAUUUUUACUCAAUAGUCCUAUGACCAUCAAGUAGUUCUACCAAAGUCUACACUUUGUUUUCACACAUGGAUCCUCUCUCGGAUUUCAUGGCUUCCAGCCAUUUGUCGGAAUCUGGGCCCACCAUCGCUUUCUCCAUAACUCGUAGGUUCACUGUUGCUCAACAACAUGACCUCCAAGACAGGGUUACCGUACUACUCUGCAGCAGUACGCGACCUUGUCGACCUACGAGGUUUGUAGUAACUUGAUUCGAAGCUCAAUGAUCAUCAUCAUCAGCUUCCACUUCAAUUGGUGUAGGCGCCACAUGAACAACUUCCUGCGCCCUGCUACACACUGGUUGAAGUGAUGGUUCAAUAACCUCAUCAAGUUCUACUACCCUCCCACUCAAUUCUUUCAAGAGAAACCUUUCCUCGAGAAAGGAUCCGUUUCUAGAAACAAACACUUUGCUUUCGGAUCUGAGAUAGGAGAUGUACCCAACUGCUUUGGAUAUCCUAUGAAGAUGCAUUUAUCCGCUUUGGGUUCGAGCUUAUCAGACUGAAACUUUUUCACAUAAGUGUCGAAACCCCAAACUUUCAAGAAACGACAGUUUAGAUUUCUCUAAACCUCAGUCUAUACUGUGUCAUCUCAACGGAAAUACGCGGUGCCCUAUUUAAAGUGAGUGCGGUUGUCUCUAAUGCAUAACCCAUAAACAAUAGUGGUAAUUCGAUAAGAGAUAUCAUAGUAUGCACCAUACCAAAUAGUGCGUGGCUAUGACGUUCAGACACACCAUCACACUAUGAUGUUCCAGGUGGCAUGAACUAUGAAACAAUUUCCACUUUUGUCUUAACUGUGUACCAAAAUUCGUAACUCAGAUAUUCAUUUCCAUGAUCAUAUCGUAGACAGUUUAUCCUCUUGUUAUGACGAACUUCACUCUGAAACGGAAUUGAACUUUUCAACAUUUCAGACUUGUGAUUCAUUAAGUAAAUACUCAUGUAUCUACUCAAAUCGUCAGUGAAGUAAGAACAUAAUGAUAUCCACUGCGUGCCUCAGCACCCAUUGGACUGCAUACAUCAAAAUGUAUCACUUCCAACAAGUUACUAUCUUAUUUCAUCUCAAUGAAAACAAGGCCUUGCUCAUGUGGUAUGAUUUGCAUGUCACUAGUGAUUCGAAAUCAGGUGAGUACAAAGAUCCAUCAGCAUGGAGCCUCUUCAUGCAAUUUAUACUAACAUGACUCAAGCGGCAGUGCCACAAGUAAGUGGUACUAUCAUCAUCAACUCGUAUCUUUUGGCACCAAUAUCAUGAACAUGUGUAACACUACGAUCGAGAUUCAAUAAACCAUUGAAGGUGAUUAUUCAAGAAAAUAGAGUAACCAUUAUUCUCUUUAAAUGAAUAAUCGUACUGCAAUAAACACGAUCCAAUCAUGUUCAUGCUUAACGCAAGCACCAAAUAACAAUUAUUUAGGUUUAACACCAAUCCCGAUGGUAGAGGGAGCGUGCGACGUUUGAUCAUAUCAACCUUGGAAACACUUCCAACACGUAUCGUCACCUCGCCUUUAGCUAGUCUCCGUUUAUUCCGUAGCUUACAUUUCGUGUUACUAAUCACUUAGCAACCGAACCGGUAUCCAAUACCCACAUGCUACUAGGAGUACUAGUAAAGUACACAUCAACAUCAUGCAUAUCAAAUACACUUCUUUUGACUUUUGCCAGCCUUCUUAUCUACCAAGUAUCUAGAGUUCCUCCGCCUCAGUGACUGUUCCCCUCAUUACAGAAGCACUUAGUCUCGGGUUUGGGUUUAAUCUUGGGUCUCUUCAUUAGUGCAGCAACUGUUUUGCCGUUUCACGAAGUAUCCCUUCUAGCCCUUGCCCUUCUUGAAACUUAGUGGUUUUACAAACCAUCAACUAUUGAUGCUCCUUCUUGAUUUCUACUUUCAUAGUGUCAAACAUCGCGAAUCGCUCAAGGAUCAUUGUAUGCAUCCUUGAUAUGUUAUAGUUCAUCACGAAGCUCUCACAGCUUGGUGGCAGUGACUUUGGAGAACUAUCACUAUCUCAUCUGGAAGAUUAACUCCCACUUGAUUCAAGCGAUUGUCGUACUCAGACAAUCUGAGCACAUGCUCAAGAUUGAGCCUUUCUCCUUUACUUUGUGGACAAAGAAUCUUGUCGGAGGUCUCGUACCUCUUAACAAGGGCACAAGCAUGAAAUCACAAUUUCAUCUCUUUAGAACAUCACUUAUGUUCCGUGACGUUUUACAACGUUUUCGGCGCCUUGCUUCUAAGCCAUUAAGUAUUUUUGUACUGAACUAUCGUGUAGUCAUCAGAAACGUGUAUGUCGGAUGUUCACAGCAUCCAUAGACGACGCUCGAGGUGCAGCACACCGAGUGGUGCAUUAAGGACAUAAGCCUUCUGUGCAGCAACGAGGACAAUCCUCGGUUUUACAGACUCAGUCUGCAAAGUUUGCUACUAUCAAUCUUUCAACUAAAUUUUCUCUAGGAACAUAUAAAAACAGUAGAGCUAUAGCGCAAUCUACAUCGUAAUUCGCAAAGACCAUUAGACUAUGUUCAUGACAAUUAGUUCAAUUAAUCAUAUUACUUAAGAACUCCCACUCAAAAAGUACAUCUCUCUAGUCAUUUGAGUGGUACAUGAUCCAAAUCCACUAUCUCAAGUCCGAUCAUCACGUGAGUCGAGAAUAGUUUCAGUGGUAAGCAUCUCUAUGCUAAUCAUAUCAACUAUACGAUUCAUGCUCGACCUUUCGGUCUCAUGUGUUCCGAGGCCAUGUCUGCACAUGCUAGGCUCGUCAAGCUUAACCCGAGUGUUCCGCGUGCGCAACUGUUUUGCACCCGUUGUAUGUGAACGUUGAGUCUAUCACACCCGAUCAUCACGUGGUGUCUCGAAACGACGAACUAUAGCAACGGUGCACAGUCGGGGAGAACACAAUUUCGUCUUGAAAUUUUAGUGAGAGAUCACCUCAUAAUGCUACCGUCGUUCUAAGCAAAAUAAGGUGCAUAAAAGGAUUAACAUCACAUGCAAUUCAUAAGUGACAUGAUAUGGCCAUCAUUACGUGCUUCUUGAUCUCCAUCACCAAAGCACCGACACGAUCUUCUUGUCACCGGCGUCACACCAUGAUCUCCAUCAUCAUGAUCUCCAUCAAUGUGUCGCCAUCGGGGUUGUCGUGCUACUCAUGCUAUUACUACUAAAGCUACGUCCUAGCAAAAUAGUAAACGCAUCUGCAAGCACAAACGUUAGUUAUAAAGACAACCCUAUGGCUCCUGCCGGUUGCCGUACCAUCGACGUGCAAGUCGAUAUUCUCUAUUACAACAUGAUCAUCUCAUACAUCCAAUAUAUCACAUCACAUCGUUGGCCAUAUCACAUCACAAGCAUACCCUGCAAAAACAAGUUAGACGUCCUCUAAUUUUGUUGUUGCAUGUUUUACGUGGUGACCAUGGGUAUCUAGUAGGAUCGCAUCUUACUUACGCAAACACCACAACGGAGAUAUAUGAAUUGCUAUUUAACCUCAUCCAAGGACCUCCUCGGUCAAAUCCGAUUCAACUAAAGUUGGAGAAACUGACACUCGCCAGUCAUCCUUGAGCAACGGAGUUACUCGUAGCGAUGAAACCAGUCUCUCGUAAGCGUACGAGUAAUGUCGGUCCGAGCCGCUUCGAU